AACCAGCACCGGAUCACACCUAAAACUUAUAGUAGAUGCUUUCCUUCAACAGCUCCCAAAUUGUGUAAAUAGAGACCUAAUAGACAAGGCAGCGAUGGAUUUUUGCAUGAAUAUGAACACCAAGGCUAACAGAAGGAAGUUAGUCCGUGCCCUUUUCAUAGUUCCUCGGCAGAGGCUAGAUUUGCUGCCUUUUUAUGCCCGACUGGUUGGGACAUUGCACCCCUGUAUGUCCGACGUAGCAGAAGAUCUCUGUUCCAUGCUGAAGGGGGACUUCAGAUU